rnacentral:lncRNA from 1 species
GUUUACUAGUGGAGGGGUGAUUAUGGGGUAGGUAGGGUUUACUAGUGGAGGGGUGAUUAUGUGGUAGGUAGGGUUUACUAGUGGAGGGGUGAUUAUGGGGUAGGUAGGGUUUACUAGUGGAGGGGUGAUUAUGGGAUAGGUAGGGUUUACUAGUGGAGGGGUGAUUAUGGGGUAGGUAGGGUUUACUAGUGGAGGGGUGAUUAUGGGGUAGGUAGGGUUUACUAGUGGAGGGGUGAUUAUGGGGUAUAUAGGGUUUACUAGUGGAGGGGUGAUUAUGGGGUAGGUAGGGUUUACUAGUGGAGGGGUGAUUAUGGGGUAGGUAGGGUUUACUAGUGGAGGGGUGAUUAUGGGGUAUAUAGGGUUUACUAGUGGAGGGGUGAUUAUGGGGUAUAUAGGGUUUACUAGUGGAGGGGUGAUUAUGGGGUAGGUAGGGUUUACUAGUGGAGGGGUGAUUAUGGGGUAGGUAGGGUUUACUAGUGGAGGGGUGAUUAUGGGGUAGGUGGGGUUUACUAGUGGAGGGGUGAUUAUGGGGUAUAUAGGGUUUACUAGUGGAGGGGUGAUUAUGGGGUAUAUAGGGUUUACUAGUGGAGGGGUGAUUAUGGGGUAGGUAGGGUUUACUAGUGGAGGAGUGAUGAUGGGGUAUAUAGGGUUUACUAGUGGAGGGGUGAUUAUGGGGUAUAUAGGGUUUACUAGUGGAGGGGUGAUUAUGGGGUAUAUAGGGUUUACUAGUGGAGGGGUGAUUAUGGGGUAGGUAGGGUUUACUAGUGGAGGGGUGAUUAUGGGGUAGGUAGGGUUUACUAGUGGAGGAGUGAUGAUGGGGUAUAUAGGGUUUACUAGUGGAGGGGUGAUUAUGGGGUAGGUAGGGUUUACUAGUGAAGGGGUGAUUAUGUGAAUGUUCACACGUGAUAACACCAAUCCUCACUGACAGAAACAGGGACACAGACAGCAUCGAACAUGACAUUCUCUUCCUCAAACUCUUUUUCCGUUUUGUCUCGUUGCUCUCCUACCCCCGUGGUGGUUCUGCAGGUAAUGUUUGAUGGACAGGUGGAAUGCAGAGCAACUGAGCUUGCAAUGUAUUUUGUUUUGGCAAUCCGUUCUUUGGGUGUUCUUAAGCAAACAGAGUG